UUCGAUACCCAGGGAUAUGUCAUGUCAGUGAAUCCUGGGCAACAUGAUAUGAAAAACAUUUGUCUUAAAUCCCUAAAUUUUCAACUAACAUAGGUUUAAGUUCAAGAAAAUCUACAGAACAUUAUUAACAUAUGGCACAGCCUUCAUUAAUCUUGUUGCAUUUUCGUUUUCUCUCAUUUAUUAUACGAAAGAUUAUUAAAUCAGAAACAAGAACAGGAAGCAAGUAAAAUAUAGCCAUGAAACAAGAGUUCACCAUUGAUGUAAGACAAAUUAGCAUUAAUUUGCCUACUUCGGAAUCUGGAGAAAACAUAAAUAUCACACUUUAGUAUUCUCAGAUACCAUGUCUAUCAUUUGAUUGAAUCACAGAAUUAGGUAUUGAGAAAUUCUCGAAGUGUUUUAUUGAAAAACUGAAUGAUGACCUUAAAGAAGACUAGAAAGGUAUUCAUAGAGUGCCAAGUAACAUUUUUCAAAUAGGAAUAGACUAAGAAAUAUCAAUACUAAUAAGAUUAUAAAUACUAUUCUUAAUAAAGAUGAAAAACAAAACAUAAAUUGGAAAAUAUAAAAAUAAUUUUAUACCUAAAUGAUAUAAUUCUUAAAUAAUAAAUUUUGAUUAUGCCUAUGUGUCAUCAAUUACUAAUAGAAACAUAAUCUAGAGUUAAUUUAUCUAUCCAGAAAUUUAGAAAAAACCUACAUGUCACACAUAGAAUUCUUAGAUAUGACGCUUAAGAUUUGAUUGAAUCAUAAAAUCAGGAAUUGUUAAUGUGAUCUCUAACACAAAGAGAGAGGCCCUCCAAGCUCCUGUUGACAACUUCAGCUCAUCAAUCAGUUUGUGUAUGAAAAGGCAUAGAAUACUUGAGCUGGGUAUUCAACAUUCUCCAUAAAGUACGCUAAAAGCAGCUCAUAGAUUUUACAUCACGAUCAGAAACAAUGACUAGGGAAAGUCCAAAUAAGCAAACUACUUCUCUAAAAUAUAGUUUAGAGAACCUAGAUGCAUCAGAAGUCUCUACACAUGUAUGAAAUGAGUCAUCUUAGAAAAAUGAUCUACUACCAUAAAUACUGGAGGGAACCAAGUAAGAAGUCCAUGCUUAUAUCUGUCCAAGGUCAUGGGGUAUAAGCUAGUAACGUGUUUCUUUCCCUUGUAUACUUAACAGAUAGGACAUCUAGUAGCUACUCUAGCCACAUCUCUUUUUAUGCUUGGCCAACAAAAUCAAUCUUCCACCAUUGUAAUUGUUUUAUCUCUUCAAAAUUACCCACUAUACCAGUCGAAUGUAAUUCCAAGAUUACUUCCAGUGGGAGGGACGUAUUGAGCGGAAAAAGACAAAUUCCUGUAUCUAUCAUGCAAUAAAAAAUUAGGAUCACAUUUUCCAGCCACUAAGUCUCCAUAAAUU
rnacentral:lncRNA from 1 species